rnacentral:sRNA from 1 species
CCUUAGUCCCGAUUGCAGUGGAAAUCCCCCGCUUUUGGGCGGGGAUUGAAACGAAAAGCGGGACCUAUG